CACUGGCAAAAUCCGAUCCCUGUCUCCACGUGGCGCUGCCGGAUGUUGGAUCCAACCAAAGGGACGG
rnacentral:ribozyme from 1 species